AGGGGCUGCAGUUGUAGGUGCAGCAGUUGUUGUAGGUGAUGCUGUUGUUGUUGCAACAGUAGUAGGGGCUGCAGUUGUAAGAGCAGCAGUUGUUGUAGGUGAUGCUGUUGUUGUUGCAACAGUAGUAGGUGCUGCAGUUGUAGGUGAAGCAGUAGUUGUAGGUGGCACCGUUGUCGGAGCAGCAGUAGUUGUAGGUGAUGCUGUUGUUGCAAUAGUAGUAGGUGCGGCUGUCGUAUGUGCAGUUGUCGUAGGUGAAGCGGUAGUUGUAGGUUGCACUGUUGUCGGAGCAGCAGUAGUUGUAGGUGCUGCUGUUGUUGUUGCAAUAGUAGUAG